ACUGUAGAAUGUGUAAACAUACUCCUGUAAAUAUCGUAACAGUGAUGAGUGAUCCAUGACAAUAAACAAACAUUGUCAAAACAAGCCAUUAAGUCAAAUAUUCAACUAGAGUUCAUUAGUUCAAUCAGCUUUAAGGCUAAGCUUUUAACUUAACUGAAUUUGCAAUGGCAAAAUUAAGUAUUUUUGUGAAAACUUAACAAAUCACACAGAAAUAUACACUCUUUUAAGCUUUGACAAUAUUAUUUACUUAAGAGUUUGCAGGUUAAUAAGCUAACAUGCAGAUGCUCCACAUUGCUUCACAGCUUACUUAUUUGGCUGUUGCUGCGAAUUUUGGUUCAAUUUUCACUGUUCUUAUCUGUUGUGCAGCAAUGAUUCUUUUCAUUCGACAGUUUAGGCUUUAUGAGUUUGAACCAACUGGGACUUCAGUUGUACAAGUAAAACAACCAGCCCAACAACAACUAUUGAAUAAAGUUAACUUGCCCUUCUCGCUGGAAGUAGGAAAACUUGAUUCAAGUGAUUUGUCAGGAAAUUAUCACUUGACUUUGUACUCUACCAGCUAUUUUCCAUGCCUCUUUGUUGUUUGUAGAGAAAUGUCAUCAGAUGUAGUUAAAAAUUUGAUAAAUGAACCAUGGCAAACAUUUUUAGAGUUCUUCAGAUCUGAAAUGAAAAUAUGUCCUAAUUUACAAAUAUAUGCUGAAGAGGAGACUCAUGAAUUAAAGCCUUUUUCAAUAAAGGGUGCACUUGAUUGCAUACCAAGGACGGCAUAUGCUUUAGUGGCGUUUCAUAUUAGAACCGAUGCUGAAUACAUGAAUGAUGGAGAUCCAACGGCUCUAAUAACUCUAAUACAUAUUCCUGAUCGCUACUGCAAUGCCCCGGCAACAACUUUGUUUCAGUAUUUAAAAUGCAACGAUGGAAGAGUAUUAAACCUCAAGCCGCUUUAUUCGCCAGAGAAGUCAAGGAUUACGCCAAAUGGAGACGAUUCAAGGCAAAGGCACGAUAACCAAGGCAACAUUAAUUGCGUUAUCUGUUGGAAUUUUCCAGCUACUCAUGUUUUGCUACCUUGCAGGCACGCUUGCCUCUGUGUGAAUUGCUUCAAACGUGUAGAAAACUGCCCUGUUUGCCGCACUCGUGUUAUGUCUUACUUUUUAGUGUAGAGAUUAGAGAAAGCUAGCACAUACCGCUGAUGUUAAAUUGAAUGCCAAGAAACAAAUAUGAAAAGUCUUUUUUAUAGUUAGUUAUUUAAUUUCGUAUAUUUAAAGAGACUGGGUUAUUGUUUUGCCUCCAAUAAUAAUGUUUCUAUUUCGUUUUUUAAUUGGUUUUUUAAUGUAUCUCAUGUUUUAUGGCAAGCCGUUCGUGCCACAUUUCACGGAAAAUCCAAAAAUGUAAUUAGGUUAGGUUAUAGGAACGCAAGCGUGAAUGUAUAUACAUUUACAUAGCACACUACACAAGCGUCAUUAAACCGUUAACGGUUUAGUAAAAUUCAAAUCUCCCACACUAGAUGGCGAAAUCGUCGAGUGCCCCAUAUCCGGCAAAUUUGUCGUCUGAUUUGGACCUUCUUUAAAAAACAGCAAUAUGGCGACCACGUUGCGAUCAUGCUUUCCGAGUUGCAACCAAAUUGUGAGUAUCGGGAUCGUAGUAGGUAGUAGCCAAAUUUGCCGUUCGAAAACAGCAGUGGAAAACACUCGGAAAAUACCGUUUACCGUGGAUUGUUGUCGGGGAGAAGGAAACUCAGUUCCUAAGCCAAAAUUAGUUAGGUAGUAAAAGAAAGAAAAUUUUUGAAUACAUUUACGAAGAGGGGUUGCGAAACGUGAACGUACGAAAUCAGCCAGAGUUUCCGGACCUACCACAUUUAUUUUUGUUUUAGUUGGAAUAGUGGAAUACCCGUGGUGAAGUACCUAACUGGACAGCAGAAAAGGAAACAGGGCACAUAACAGCCAGGUGAUAUUUUUAGAGGUUUGGUGUUGCAACCGGUGAGUCCAUCCAUCAAAUUAUCCCACCCGAAAACAGUCCCCUGGUGGAUUUUGGUCCCCAUUCAAGCCACCUACAUCAUACCCACUUUGAUGAUCUUCUGCCCAUUCUCAAAGAGGCUGGUCAAGAUUUACUUAUUCUUGUUUGGAGGAAUUCUUCAGAAGUCCUCAUCAAGGAUCAGCCUCAGUCAGACGAUAGUAAAUUAGCCUUCCAAUCCUACCAGGGAGAGUUUUCCGCUAUUUAUCAAGAAGAGCAAAAGUGUAAAUGUCAAUUGGAAAUUGUUCUGCAACUGCAAGGCCAUGAAAACUGGAUGUACGGGCUCCAUUGGCAAUCGCUCGUGUUAAAAGGUGUUCUUCCUCUUUCCUGUUCCAUGGACGAUCUGCGUGAGGUAGAUCCUUCCAGCGGCAUUGGGUUCUGAAAUAUUUGGGUUACGAGUUACCAUCGACAUCGACGUGCAAAUACUCCGCCAACAGACUAUGUAAACCAGUGCACGAUCAAUCCAAUUGGGUCAGUAAGAAAAACCAGACGCAAUGAAAAAAAAAGACCGUAAAUGUUACUUGUCGCUCAAGUUUUCCAUUUUCUAACCUUUAUCACCUCCAUUAUGCAAAUGGCGUAAAGCACCAGAUUUAGAAACACAAAGGUGAUCAAUGAAGUUAGACCGUAUCACGAAAUCGUUAAAGAUUUCCACCAGGGCCCGAAUAACUCGCUGGUUUGGAACUACCCACAGACCUCUAUUCAAGAAUUGUCUCAUUUAUCCGCCCAAACUGCCUCCAAUCGUUGAGCGAAUUUGUUUUGUAAGUUCGAACCCUAUGCAUGUUCAGAAAAAGAAAAGGUGGCCAUGGGUCAUUAUCUUAUUUUUUUUUUCCAAUUUUUCUGGGUCUCUAUUAUUUUCUACCUGAGAUUUAUCAAUAAUUAUGUAGGAUAAUAGAAGUUAAUGAAUGUUUUUAAAAACCAUGCCAGUUAUCAACAUUGUCCUAAAUACCUUUACCAAUCUUCCAAAAGGCGUAACCUGAUAAGAGUAACUUAAUUUUAUAUGUUAUCAAACAUAAUUCGUUCGGCAGGUUUACAACCAGUAACUAUAUUAGGGAAUGCAAAAUUAGAAUUUUUUAGUAUAUCAGUUGAGAUCUUUUCACGUUUGAUGUAUUGCGAAUUUCCAUUUUUGUUCAAGAAGCAGUUGAAGAACCGAAAUAUCCAACGCUUAUUAGCAUAUAGGGCGAAUCGCCUCGAAAUGAUUCAUCUUUGUGUAUGAAACAGAUUUUCAAAAAAAUAAAUUUGCAUUGCAAUGUAUUACCUUCGAUUAGGAAGACUUCCGAAGCCUAGCCCAAAUUCCAACAUUCAUUGUUUCUUUACCUUCGUCAUGAGGUGGCGCGUACAAGGGAAAAUUCGUCAACAUUUUUAACAUUGUCACUUCGUAAUACAGUUGUCCUUCUAUGAAGUACACGCCUCAGCAAGACCGAGCAGGAUUGCGGUUUCAAAACAUAACCAGUCACCUUAUCGCUUCAACAAUUCCGUUGAAAUAGGUCGCUAUCUCCCCUGAAUAAAAGAUCACAUUCAAUGCCAGUUGGCACGUUCCUUUUUGAACAAUGGAAAAAAUUAUUGCCCUUGCCCUUUCCCUAUAAAGGUUUCUAAUUACGAAUAAUUUGUUAUUCCGAUCAUUUCAAUAAUGAUCAAUGGCAAUACAACGAAAAAUUCACGAAUGCGUAGUUCUUGAAUUUUCUGGGAGAAAACGGGGAAUCCUAAACCGGCCGAGCGACUUCCUGGAGCAAGAAUUUGACCAUGAACAAAUAAACCCAAAUAUCAUCUUACCGUUAGACUAAAAGGUAACCAAAACAUUGUGAAGAACGUAUAUGGACCCGGAGGAUCUUCCAAUUUGGCUAAGUUUAAAACGGAAUGGAAGGCAAUGUUGUUGAACCGACUGGAUGGGAAGAGAGAAACAUUCCAUCAUAGCCCGAAGGCCCCGAACCCAUGUCUGGGUAUAUGGCCUGAAUUGACAAAAGGAAAGAAUGCAUGAAUUUUAACCCUCCCCCAGUCAUCAAUCUCACCCAGGGUUGGGGUAACCAGACGAUCUGUAAACAGGCGAUGAAUUUCACGACUGCGAGGAAAGAGAAAAACAAAAACGGAUUUGACCAUCAGGAACUUCGUAACCUUUUAAGAAUCAGAAGCGUCUCCAAUGGACAUGCAUGGGCAUGGGGAGAAAGUGUCCGACUAGGAAAAAUCUCGGAAAGACCAGUCUCUUGUUUUGAUGAAGCCAAGGCUCAGGAGCACUAAACUGUAAAUAAAAUUGGACAAA
rnacentral:lncRNA from 1 species